UAGAGAGUUAGAGAUUACGGCUGGUUAAUGCCGGAGAGAUUAGGAGAACCAAAUUUGCGUGACUCUGCUUGAGAAAUCUGGGUUGGAAUCCUUGAGAGAUGAUACUCUGUUUUUGAUGAGAAGUUCUAUUUCAGCGAUGAUUGAGGAGGAGUCCGUGAAAAUGCUGGGAUGAAGGAGAAAAAAUCGUUCAUCAAUGGCAUGAGGAAUCUUUA